UGUAACGCCUGGGAAUCGAACUCGGGCAACCCGCGUGGCAGGCGAGCAUUCUACCACUGAACCACCGAUGGUCAU
rnacentral:tRNA from 1 species